UAGAAAGGAUACAAACUAGCAAAAAUGAUUAAAAAGAAAUACUAACCAACAUGACAUGAAACAGAGUAAUAGAUUAGCAUAUCUGGAAGAGAUACCAAUAAUUUUAAGAGAAGAUAAUUGUAAAAUCCCUACAAUACCCUUACUCCUCUUUUUCCCAAACCCUGAGAAUGAAAGAAAGAAAAAGAGACAGAGAGGAGAACCAAGACGCCAGAGAGAGAAAGAGAGGGAGGCGCGCCGUGCCUUGUUGCCGUCGCUGAAGCAUCCAUCGUCGCUGAAGCAUCCAUCGUCGCUGUGGUUGCCUGGGUCAUUGUCGAAUGGAGCCGUUGCUAAGCUUGAGAGAGUGAAUGAGGGAGCUUCUUAGAGAGAGAAGGGGGUUCACGGAAGAGGAAGAACCGCGACGAGGGAAGAAGGGAGGGCCGCCUCCCUCACGGACAAGCCAUUGCCGUUGAGGCCGCCGCUGUCUCUGUUUGGGGCCGCCGUCAUUGCUGAAUGAAGGAGAGUUUGAGCUGGCCAGAGAAGGGAGGAAGAGAGGGUCGCGAUGGAGGAGCCGUUCACCAUCGUCGCGUCUGCUGUUUUGGUCUUGCUCAGCCCCACACCCCCUUCAUUCUUGUCUCUGAAUCAGUACCAUUUUCCCCUAUUCUGACUCCAUUUGUGAAACUUACUAUCGCUCAACUUUUGUUAUGUUUCUGCUGGAAAUUAUCUCCAGUAUUGGUAUUGGUGCUGUCAUGGAACGGUUGGAGCUGUUGAUGUUACAAUUACAUCUGCGAUGUAGCCGUGGAAGUUGCUGCCACUGUCUCGACAAGUCUUUCAGAGGGAGAAAAUGACAGUAGUUUGACCAGGAUUACCAUUGCAGGUCUAUGUUUUAAGGUUGGAAUCCAAGGGAUGCAGAUCAUGAAGCCGCAGAGACCGAAAGAGAUUCAUUUGUCAAAAUCAAUUGCAAAUGGUGCUAAAAAGGUUAACGGUACUGCUAUGGGAAUUUGUCUUCAGCUGGGUUUGGUAUCAAGGGAGGAUAACGUUGAAGUUGAAAUGGCUAAUUGGGAAGUGGAAAAUCUAACGUUCACUAUUAAGCAACCAAUAGAGGUGGUUUUAACCAGUGAUGAGGCUCAACACCUUCCUUUUCUGUGCAAAUCUGAAGUUGAUUUCAUGGGCAUGCAGGAAGUGAAGGCAUUGACAAGAUUUUCUCUCCUAAGCACAGCAGAGAUGAUAGUGUCCACAAUAGGGGAUUUUGUCCAUCACUGAAGCUGGUAAACAAAAGCUUGCACAAAUCGACGAUGGAACCGACAUUAACUUUGUUGGAGGAAGCAGUUGCAGAUUCACAGGAAAAGAUCAAUGCCUUAAUCAGUGAUUUUGGUAUUUCAGAGUCCUCUGGGCAGCAAUUUACCAUUGCUAAAAAACUCAGUCAAAAGAUUGUAUCAAUGGAGGGUUUAUUGAAGCAACUACGGAAUAAAACUUAGUCUCAUUCAUAUUUGUAUGUAAUUAGAAUUUAAGAUUGUCCUUUUUGGCUUUUUCUUUAUUGAUAUAUUUGACAUAGGUCACAAUUCUUUUUGUAUAUAGCAAAGAAGAUCAUAUUGUCAAGUGUUGUAUAAAAUAGUUAGAAAUUAGGAUUCUUCAUUAUUGUAAGAAAAAUUUUGUUCGGUUGAGCCUGUACUGCUGCGAAAUAACAAUUUUGGUAGCUUGCCUUUAUCUCA